UACAGAGGGGGCAAGCGUUGUUCGGAAUUACUGGGCGUAAAGCGCGUGUAGGCGGACCACCAAGUCGGACGUGAAAGCCCUGAGCUCAACUCAGGAACUGCAUCCGAAACUGGCGGUCUGGAGUAGUGGAGAGGAAAGCAGAAUUCCUGGUGUAGAGGUGAAAUUCGUAGAUAUCAGGAGGAACACCGGUGGCGAAGGCGGCUUUCUGGACACUUACUGACGCUGAGACGCGAAAGCGUGGGGAGCAAACAGG
rnacentral:rRNA from 1 species